UUAUUUAGUGUUGAAACAGUUUAAAUCAAACCUAUAUCCAUCCCGAACUAUAGUGUUAAAUUAAAUUGCGAGAAUGAUACUCUGAGAGACAUUUUUGGGGACAAUACUCGAAUACUAGAUUU
rnacentral:rRNA from 1 species